CAGAAAUGGGAGCUGCUUUCAGACCAAAACAAUAUCAUUUCCUAGAUGUUAUCUCUUCAUAUUGCUUUGGACUGAAGGGAGCUCCUAUUUCUU
rfam:Musa acuminata subsp. malaccensis Doubled-haploid Pahang (DH-Pahang) genomic chromosome, chr7